GCAGACCACACAUUGAACACCUUGGAGCGGAGUGCGUAGCAAAUGGAGGAAGUACCUUCAGCUGAAGCAGCACUUUUACAUGGCUUAUGCGUACUGCUAUAAUGGACAGACACUGCUGGCGAGUGACAAGUGUGGUGAGGCUAUACGAUCUCUCCAGGAGGCAGAAAAGUCUUCUUCUUCACAAUACCCC